CCCUUAGAUGUCCGGGGCUGCACGCGCGCUACACUGAAGGAAUCAGCGUGCUAAAACCAUUGUCGAAAGGCAUUGGUAAACCCAUUAAAAUCCUACGUGAUUGGGAUCGGGAAUUGCAAUUAUUUCCCUUGAACGAGGAAUUCCCAGUAAGUGUGGGUCAUAAGCUCGCGUUGAUUACGUCCCUGCCCUUUGUACACACCGCCCGUCGCUGCCCGGGACUGAGCCGUUUCGAGAAAAGCGGGGACUGCUGCUGUCGGGGCUUUCGGGCCUUGGAUUCGGUGGAAACCGCUUUAAUCGCAGUGGCUUGAACCGGGCAAAAGUCGUAACA
rnacentral:rRNA from 1 species